GCCUCUCUGUGGCGUUGGUGACUACCUAAAAUGUUUUUUGAUCUAUGACAGUUUUUUAAGGGAACUAUCUUAAUCUAGCGGCAGUAUACCAAUAGCAAAUAGUUGGAAACUUUAAGUUAGAGUGAAAGCGCCCACCUGGUUUACCAGGAUCAAAAACUGCGGUAAGACGGCGUUGCGGAGGGGUU
rnacentral:other from 1 species